rnacentral:misc_RNA from 1 species
AAGACUAUGGUGAACAACAGUGACAACAAAGCUAUAGCCCCAAAAAGAAGGAAAAGGUUUUCAACUCCGAGCAGCUCCUUUAAUGGUGAGAAUACAAAGGUUACAAUGGCAUUAGAACCAAAGUUAGUAAGAACUGCAAGACUUAUGCCCUUUCCUCUAGUGCGAAGUGGGAAAAUUUCUGACACCAUUAGCCAACUGAUAGGCCCAAAUGAUAUCUGGUAGCAACCAACAUAGAGAAGCAGAGCCGCAACAGCAACAAAUGGGAACCCUCCAAGAAAUUUGUAAUAAGCAGAAAGCAAAAAUAAGGAGAAAACAAUCCCACCAACACCUCCAAUCAGCAAGGGUCUUCUUCCAAG